CACGUAGGGGGCAAGCGUUGUCCGGAUUUAUUGGGCGUAAAGAGCGUGUAGGCGGCCCGGUAAGUCCGCUGUGAAAGUCCAGGGCUCAACCCUGGAAUGCCGGUGGAAACUGUCGGGCUAGAGUCCGGAAGAGGCGAGUGGAAUUCCUGGUGUAGCGGUGAAAUGCGCAGAUAUCAGGAGGAACACCAAUGGCGAAGGCAGCUCGCUGGGACGGUACUGACGCUGAGACGCGAAAGCGUGGGGAGCAAACAGG
rnacentral:rRNA from 1 species